GACGAACGCUGGCGGCGUGCUUAACACAUGCAAGUCGAACGGAAAGGCCCUGCUUUUGUGGGGUGCUCGAGUGGCGAACGGGUGAGUAACACGUGAGUAACCUGCCCUUGACUUUGGGAUAACUUCAGGAAACUGGGGCUAAUACCGGAUAGGAGCUCCUGCUGCAUGGUGGGGGUUGGAAAGUUUCGGCGGUUGGGGAUGGACUCGCGGCUUAUCAGCUUGUUGGUGGGGUAGUGGCUUACCAAGGCUUUGACGGGUAGCCGGCCUGAGAGGGUGACCGGCCACAUUGGGACCGAGAUACGGCCCAGACUCCUACGGGAGGCAGCAGGGGGGAAUAUUGCACAAUGGGCGGAAGCCUGAUGCAGCAACGCCGCGUGCGGGAUGACGGCCUUCGGGUUGUAAACCGCUUUCGCCUGUGACGAAGCGUGAGUGACGGGAAUGGGUAAAGAAGCACCGGCUAACUACGU
rnacentral:rRNA from 1 species